rnacentral:rRNA from 1 species
UACGUAGGGUGCGAGCGUUGUCCGGAAUUAUUGGGCGUAAAGGGCUCGUAGGCGGUUUGCCGCGUCGGGAGUGAAAACCUUGGGCUUAACUCAGGGCUUGCUUUCGAUACGGGCAGACUAGAGGUAUGCAGGGGAGAACGGAAUUCCUGGUGUAGCGGUGAAAUGCGCAGAUAUCAGGAGGAACACCGGUGGCGAAGGCGGUUCUCUGGGCAUGAUCUGACGCUGAGGAGCGAAAGUGUGGGGAGCGAACAGG